rnacentral:lncRNA from 1 species
NNNNNNNNNNNNNNNNNNNNNNNNNNNNNNNNNNNNNNNNNNGGGGGGGGGACACAUGGGGUGGUGUCACCAUGGGAUGGGCCAUGGGGACACGGGGAGGUGCCACCAGGAGGGGACGUGGGGACGCGGGGAGGUGGCAUCAUGGGAGGGGACGUGGGGACCCCCCGGUGGUGCCCCCACAGGAGGGGACACGGGGACAUGGGAUGGAUGUCCAUGGGGACAUGGGGUCAAGGGGACUUGGGGACAAGGGGACUUGGGGUCAAGGGGACUUGGGGUCAAGGGGACUUGGGGUCAAGGGGACUUGGGGACAGAGGGACAGGGGUCAAUGGGAUGUGGGGACACAGGGACUUGGGGACAUGGGGACUUGGGGAUGGAUGUCCAUGGGGACAAGGGGUCAAGGAGACUUGGGGACACGGGGACUUGGGGUGUGGGGACGCGGGGACAAGGGGACGUGGGGACUUGGGGUCAUGAGGCUGUGGGGACGCAGGGACUUAGGGACACGGGGUCGCGGGGUCGCGGGGACCCUGGGGACAGGGGGACGCGUGGGCCACGCACCCAGCGUGCCGGGGGGGCAGGAGCAGAGGUAGCCCCCCGGCAGGUCGAGGCAGGUCCCCCCGUGCUGGCACGGCCGCGACUGGCACUCGGCCACCUCCAGCUCGCAGUCCUGGCCCGCAUAGCCCGGGGGGCACUGCGGGGACAGCGCCCGUGGGUGCCAUCCCCAGCGCCCGCGGGUGCCCCCGUGGCGGCCGGCACCUCCCCCCAUCCCCCCACCCCAUUCAACAAGGGCAGCACCCAUGGGUGUGUCCAGUCCCCCCAGUGACCCCUCCCAGUGCCCCCAGCCCUCCCAAACUGGGAGGCCCCCCAGUGUCCCCGGUAACCUCCCAGUCCCCCCAGUAAGCCCUCCCAGUCCCCUCAGUAACCUCCCAGUCCCCCCAGUAACCCCUCCCAGCGCCCCCAGCCCCCCAAACUGGGAGGCCCCCCAGUGUCCCCAGUUUGGCGCCGUGUCCCCAGAGGGCACCCAGAGGAGGGAGGGGGCACCCAUGGGACCCCCCCCCCCUAAAAUCUCCCAUGGGUGCCGUGGGAGC